GCAUUCUCAGCCUACACACGUUCAAUGUUAUGCACUUCAAGCAAAGCACGCGGUUUAUCUGAACGGGCGCUGACAUUUAGGUUCCAGUCAGAGCAUUCAAGUCACUGCCACCAUCUUCUGUGAAGUCAGACUAACAGUAUGUAUGUAGCUGUCUAAAUAAUGACCUUGUUCAUCCCUGAUAUGGCUGGUCGUCUGUUUUUGCUCAUCCUCCUUUUCGAUACCUUCCAGUACAUCAAAGCCAAAGAUCUUCCUCGGCCCAGUCUAACAGUGAUUCCUGCAGUCAUCAAAGAGAGAGACUCAGUUCAGCUGAACUGUCAGACUCCUUCAUCUGUCUCUGAGUGUUACUUCAAAAUGGAAGGGCAAGUGGAAUUCACCCUACCAUCACCCUGUCAACAGACUCUCACAGGAACACUACUGGUGAGGUGGACAGGUCAGAGUUCACCAGCUGAGGUCAAAAUACAAUGUCAGUACAGUGCUACAGGUUCACAGUUUAGAUCCAUGUUCAGUGAGCCUUCAACAGUCACAAUUCAGGACCUUCCUCAGCUGACAGUGAGUUCUACAGUCAUCAGAGAGACAGAAUCAGUUCAGCUGAGUUGUGAGACUCCUCCAUCUCUCCCUGUGUCUCACUGUUACUUCUACAUAGAGGGGAGGAAGAAUCUUCCAGACUCAUUGUGUACGCAGACAAUAACAGGAACUCAGCUGCUGAAGAGGGCAGAUCAAACAUUUCCAGUUGUGGUCAAAGUGAAGUGUUACUAUGCUGUAUGGAAGUCUCACACAUCUCCGUUUAGUAACUCUGUCUCAGUCACUGUUCAGG
rnacentral:lncRNA from 1 species